GAUGAACGCUGGCGGCGCGCCUAACACAUGCAAGUCGAACGAGCGAGAGGGAGCUUGCUUUCUCGAGCGAGUGGCGAACGGGUGAGUAACGCGUGAGGAACCUGCCUCAUACAGGGGGAUAACAGUUGGAAACGACUGCUAAUACCGCAUAAGCGCACAGGAUUGCAUGAUCCAGUGUGAAAAACUCCGGUGGUAUGAGAUGGACCCGCGUCUGAUUAGCUGGUUGGUGAGGUAACGGCCCACCAAGGCGACGAUCAGUAGCCGGCCUGAGAGGGUNAACGGCCACAUUGGGACUGAGACACGGCCCAAAACUCCUACGGGA
rnacentral:rRNA from 1 species